AGUGACCACUUUUCUCUCCAGCUGCCUCGCAUGAUGGCAAAUGGCAUAUUUAAAUGGUAAAAGGCUUGAUCUCUAUCUCAAAACAUUUGACAUACUCACACUGAAGAUGGAAAAAACUGUUUUUGAUGGCUUCAGAGGAAAGACUGUGUACUAAGAAGAGGAGGAAGUUUGACUUGCAAAGAAAUGGAGAGUGAAUGAAGCUGCAGGAAAUGCACACACCCUGACACUUGGUAAACGCGGAUUGAGUUUGGAUCUUUCCUUCUCUUGAAAUAAAUAGAAAAUACACCACCAACAAUAGAGGACCUAUCAAAAGUUUAGCAGGAGAAGGGGAAAAAGCAAUUCUGA
rnacentral:lncRNA from 1 species